rnacentral:rRNA from 1 species
GCUGGUCUGAGAGGACGACCAGCCUCACUGGAACUGAGACACGGUCCAGACACCUACGGGUGGCAGCAGUCGAGAAUUUUUCUCAAUGGGCGAAAGCCUGAAGGAGCGACGCCGCGUGGGGGAUGAAGGGCUUCGGUCCGUAAACCCCUGUCAUUUGCGAACAAACCUUAUGAUUGAACAUUUCAUGAGCUGAUUGUAGCGAAAGAGGAAGGGACGGCUAACUCUGUGCCAGCAGCCG